AUUCUCAAACCUCUAAAAUCCAAACCCUAACUCUCUUUCUCUCGUUCAAUUCUCCCGCCCACAGGCCGCCGCCUCGCCUCCCAUCAGUCUGACGCGCCUCCGGCAGUCUCCCCCGAUCCAACGCACCACCGGUCUCCGACCGCCCCGCCUCGGUCUGACUCGAAGCCUCCGUGGCAAGCCAGAAGUAUGCUAUGCCCCGUCGCGCCUCAGUGUGCGACAGCACGGCCCAUCCUUUCCCGUCGUCCCGCCUCACCUCCUCCGGCCUCAGCGGCUCCGUUGGUCCGUCCGGCGACUCCAAAACACCAGCAGUUGCCAACACGGCGAGCCUGUAGGAACUUGGGGUUGAAUAUAACUCAUUAAGAUGCAUUUGACCGAAUGUUUUGAUGGUUUUGGAAGAAUCGACAUUCUGCCUGUAAUCUGAUGCCCAAAGGUACAAAUGGGGUUCUUUCUUGUCUAUGGUAGCUGCACUCAGUAACCCCCCCUCCCCCCCUGCUCAGGAAGAUGAAGAUCGUUGGGUUCGAUGAUGAAGUAACCUACUAUCUCUAUGAAAUGCCAGGAGCAGCUACCUCAGAUGUUUUCCAUCUCCGGUAAUAUAUAAAUUAUCAUGGCAUCCUUCAAUCUUGAUUCAAGCUAUAGCUCCAAAUGAAACUUUAAAGAAAUUGGCUUCUGUUUGCUCAAAUUUCAAGCUCCUUAGUAAAGUUCUUUUUUCCAUUUCAACUACUGUAGCAAAGUUCUUGUGUAUUUGCACCAUACUAUACUAGAUUCAUUGACCGCCAGCUAAUGUUCUUUCUUUUGCUGUAUUUAUGUCGACGCACAUGGCCUAUGAAUUGCUUCCUGAGUCUGGAAAGGUUGUUGCCUUUGACGUCGACUUACCCGUAAAGCAAGCAUUUCAUAUUCUGCAUGAGCAGGGUGUAUAUACGGCGCCCUUGUGGGACUUCUCAAAGAGCCGGUUUACCGGAGUUCUCAGUGCACUGGAUUUUAUUUUGAUUAUGAGAGAGUUUGCAGGAGGAUGCUACUCCAAAAAGGAAAUUGAUGAAGUAAGGAUAGAGUGGGCAGAAUUUGUAUGUAAAAUCACGGAUGAGUGAUGAUGGAUGGUGUAACUUGCUUGGUUUGCAGUUAUGUUUCAAUUAGUACGAUGAUGAUGUUUGGAUUCUAAUGUAAUGUAGGAUGAUGAUGUUUGGAUUCUAAUGUAAUGUAGGGAUGAUGAUGUUGGAUUCUAAUGUAAUGUAGGGAUAAUGAUGUUGGAUUAUAAUGUAUGAAUUUUUAGCUUUUCA